UAUAAUGAUUGUGGUGGGCACUCACUAAGAGAUGUUUCAACUCAGGUGCCCUUUCUGUAGUUUUUCAAAAUACCAAAAUAAAUCAACAGUAGGUGCUAUUUUAAGUAAUAAAUAUGAAGCCUGUGAGAGUGUCAGAUCGAAAUAGGAAUAUGGAGUAAAUUAAGAGCCAGCUGGAUUGUUUUCCUCUUUCAUCUAUUACUAUGUUCUUAAUUGCAUGGCUUCUUCGUUCUGUUGUUUGAUAAAGCUGUGGAGGGUGAACACAAGACUGAGCCUGCUGCAGAGCUGCCUUGCAAAGCACAGACAAAGAAGAUCAAGGCAACACAAAUGGAAAAUCCAUGAGACCCUUUCAGCUAGGCGGUGCUGACGAGGUUCUAAUUGAUGGGGUAGCUAGUGGGGACGCACCCUGCGCAUUACUGAAGUGUGAGCAAUAAACCACAAGUGUCUCUGAGAAGUGUUCCCCUCCUCUCCCUCUGUUUUCAAUGCUGUUGAAAGGGGCUAGGAAGGCAGGCAGAAUAAGAACAGUAAAGCCAGCAAGCUUCCCAUUCGUCCUGCCAGGUGUAUGCUCACGAAAGCAGGCUGUAACCAAAUAGCGUGGUUCUGGGCAUCAGCUGAUCACUAUUGGAGUCAGGAAGAAAAGUGUCAGCCCCUAAUCUGCAAUGCAGCAUUGCACAAUUGGAUGAGUAGCCCUCCCCUUGACACCUUCCUCUGACCCAUCCAGCACUGGUGGAUACUGGACUUGAGACACCAACGGUGAGAUCCAGUUUGGCAAAUGCCCUGUUGCUAGAUCCUUAAUAGCCAUUGCUGCUUAGA